UGGUAGGCCAGAUUCAUCACUGACUUAACUUAGCAAACCAUGGUGACGGUACUUAUAAGCCUGUUUCAUUUGAGGAAGUGAUUAUUUCAACCUAAGUUGAUUCUCAGUCAUUCAUUAAACUGUGUGUUGUUUUGGUGUUAGGGGAAAAACAUUACAUCAUACCAAAUGCUAUGAAGAAAAUCAAGUCCGUCCCAGCUGAAACCAGAAUCCAUGGGUACCAAAGAGGAGGACGAAGGUCUACUGCACUGAUAGAACUGCACCAUUCAUACUGGCUGCUGGCUUGGAGAGUGGGGGAGUUGACAUAGUCAACUGCUGAAUAUGUCUGAGACGUCUUCUACAAACAGCAUAUGGAUUCUUCUCCUCAUUUCCUCUCCCUGCUUGACUAAUUAAGUGUGGACAGGAGGUUCUUCUAGAGUUUUAGAAGCUGGAUAAUGCUUUAUGUUCUUCUGCCUGCGACAUGGAUCUUGGCAGAACAUCAUGGGAAGAGAAGAUCUAUUACAAGCAUACACUGAAUUGUGAGUUUAUCCCACGUGAAAAGGUUACUUCAAUGACAUUUGUGAGUAGGAACAAAACUAAAGAAAGAACAUGUUAGAGGUACAGCUCAUGAUAACAAGCAGUAUUUUUGCAGAUAUGCAGGAUCUAAGUGAUAGCUACUCACUUGG
rnacentral:lncRNA from 1 species